rnacentral:rRNA from 1 species
UACGUAGGGCGCAAGCGUUGUCCGGAAUUAUUGGGCGUAAAGAGCUCGUAGGCGGCCUGUUACGUCUGCUGUGAAAUCCCGGGGCUUAACCCCGGGCGUGCAGUGGAUACGGGCAGGCUGGAGGCAGGCAGGGGAGAACGGAAUUCCCGGUGUAGCGGUGAAAUGCGCAGAUAUCAGGAGGAACACCGGUGGCGAAGGCGGGUCUCUGGGCAGUAACUGACGCUGAGGAGCGAAGGCUAGGGUAGCAAACAGG